rnacentral:lncRNA from 1 species
AUGGCAAACCUGCCGGACCUAACCACGUGAGAGGUCCGAGUACCAACCAGGUUGCUGCAGCAAGUGCAUAUACACCGAAUAUAAAUACAACACCACAGACUGUGAACGGCAGCUAUCCGACAAUUACAGAAAGCUCCUACCAAAAUACUGGAUCUCGGGGUUGAGAACAUCCUUGAUGUUUCUUCACUGUACAGAUCAUCGUCAUGAGCAGAUGUCCAGACCAAAUGCCUCUUCCGGUAGCUGUUGUCCCUCCUCUAUCAUCCAGUCCUGAAGAAUUGCAGCCAAGAACUUGUGUGUCAUCAACAGCAAGUAGUCAAAGCUUAGACAGAGGGUCUGGUGAGGUUGGCAGUCAGAUUUGUCUUGUUAAACAAAGCUCUGUUUAACAUAGUUUUUUGUUAAUCUUAGUAAUUUGAAGAGGACAAAGGAAAAUAUUUAAAAAUUGUUAGUCAUUUGUAAACAUGGAAAUUUUCUGUUAUAGUUUUAUUAACAUUAUAAUGUAUGGUGUGUUAACAAAAGAACUGACAAAUAGUUUGUAGUUUUGUAUUUAUUCUUACCCUUGUAAUUACAAGAAGUUUUUGUGGUAAAUUGCAAAGAAAAGUUAUAGUCAGAACCUUCUAAAUUUUUAGUGUUAUAGUUGAACCAGUUUUUGUGCUAUGAAGAGAAAUAAGUUUAAGGAAUUUGUUUUCAUUAUUUCAGAACCAGUUUCCAUCCUUAUGAAGCAUGGUUGGAGCUUUCCUGCCAUGUUUAGUCAUAUUCAAACAUUAUCAGAUGUAUUAACUUCAGAAUGAUGUUCAAGUAGGUUAUUUUACAGUUAAGAGUGGGUUUUGUAGUUUAUUUUAUGUCAGUUUCCUUAACUAUAGCACACAAACCUUGACUGAUCAUUUUAACCAGCACUUCUUCUACCUUAUCUUUUCAUGACUUGUCAUACUUAUGACUAAUGCUUAUCCAUUCCUCAUUACUUUGGUAACCCUAACUUAUACAUAAUUUAUCAAGUGUAUGACCACAUUUUUAGCCAAACUCACCAUGUAAUCAUGACUUAUUUAUAACCUACUGAACUUACACUCAUCUUGUUAACCUUGAAUUUUCUGUAAUCUACUGAACUUACACUCACAUUGUUAGUCAGGACCUCAUCUUGUUAACCAUGACUUUUCUAUAACCUACUGAACUUACAUUCACAUUGUUAGUCAGGACCUCAUCUUGUUAACCAUGACUUUUCUAUAACCUACUGAACUUACAUUCACAUUGUUAGUCAGGACCUCAUCUUGUUAACCGUGACUUUUCUGUAAUCUACUGAACUUACAUUCACAUUGUUAGUCAGGAUCUCAUCUUGUUAACCUUGAAUUUUCUAACAUACUGAACUUACACUCACAUUGUUAGUCAGGACCUCAUCUUGUUAACCGUGACUUUUCUGUACUCUACUGAACUUACAUUCACAUUGUUAGUCAGGACCUCAUCUUGUUAACCAUGACGUUUCUAUAACCUACUGAACUUACACUCACAUUGUUAGUCAGCACCAAUUUGUUAUUCAACAUUAAAGUGAUAUUGCUAAAAAAGUACUUUUCUGUAGGUGUUACUUUUAAAUUCAACUGAUUAUUUAUCAUUUUUCAAACAUUGCUAACUACAAUCUAACACGUACACUUCUAAUGUUAUGGGAAUCAGCAGUUUUGAAAGAUUUUUGACAAAUUAAGAUGGCAUUGGCUUCUUUGUAUUGGAUUAUUACUAGUAAAAACAUCAUAUUUCUUAAAAAAUCACAAUUAUCUUGUAUUGGAAUAUUACAGCAUCAGGUAUUGUUUCCAGAGAAGUUGAAAAAUGGAUAACAUAUCAGCUCAGAACGUGCAAGAAAUUUACAUGACUAUAGUAAAUACUUUUUUUUAAAACAGAUUUUUUUGCCAUGGGUGUGGAGGUUUGAAUUUUCACUAGGACUUGAUCCCAUAUUAGUUGAUUCAAAAUGACAAUGUUUCAGUCAGAGAAACUCGACUGUGUGUUUGUAUAUCACAGUUUGUGCUAGUUAUAUGUCAAUGGACUGAUAUGUGCUCCAUUGCUCGUGAGUUAUUAAGGACUACAAAAAGCUACGAGUGAAGAAUGCCUGUAUAAUUUAUUUAGACAUUUUAUAGACAGUUGUGUAUACUUUUGAAGAUUUUAAUUCACACAUUAAUAGUUCUUAAUUUUAUCUUUUACAUAAUAAAUGUGUUAAGAUUAUGUUUUCUUGUUGUUUUUUCAAGAAAAGGUAUCAUUAUGAAAAAGUGAAAUAUUGACAUAUGAUCUUGAUAAUUACUCUUAAAAUUUGGAAAUUUAUUAUUAUAGAAGCAACAAAUUUAGCCAGGAAAUUUUCAAGUAUGAAAAUACUUAGCAGUGAGAAGUUUGGAAUUUUUAUCAUAUUUCAAUGUGUUUUAACAAGGUAUCUGCAAAUUUUCAGGUUAUAACAAACAAUGAGAAAUUUGGACGUUUUAUGAUAUUUUGACAUCUAUUAACAAAGUAUCUGCAAUAUGGACAAUUUAUGUUUCACUUUUAUCAGACCUUUGUUUUUUUAGCUUAAAAUAUUUGUGUAUAUUUUGUAAAUAUCAGCAAAAACUAUAUAGCAUAAGAAAUUUAGUGAGUGUACAAAAUAUCCUAUUAAAGUAAUGGAACAUUGACAGAAAUAUGGAAGCGUUUUACUUUUCUUUUAACUUUUUUUAUAUCACAAUUGAAGAAAAGAAGUCAAAAUGAAAAUUGACUUAGAUAAUUAGUUGAGUGUUGACUUUAAAAUAACGGGCCUGUAAAGGAAGAUAUGAUGGAAUUUUCUCAUCUCUUUGAUUGUAUGGAUCACCAAAAUUGCAGACAAGAGGUGUACACAGAAGGAUAGACAAGUAAUUAAACAUUAGAAUAAAGCUAUAGUUUUUGUUGUAAACAAAAGGUAAAAACUAGUUGUUUUGGUUGGAAACAGUUUAUAUUUUGGACACAUAACACAUUUAAGAAACAACAUUAUCAAAUAGAGAUCAGUUAAGGGUUAAAUUUUACUAUAAAAUGUGGAUCAAUUAAUUGUAAAACACGUUAGCACAUAGAGAUUAGUUCAGGUUCAAAUUAUACUAGAAAGUAACAUCAAUUUGUGGUCAUAUUGCAUACGAAACAGAAAUAAGUUGCAGAUAUAAUUAUGCUAUAAAAAUAGGUAUCAGUUUCAGGUACAAUUACACCAGAAAAUAGGUACAAGUUUCAGGUAGAGUCACACCAGAAAAUAGGUAUCAGUUUCAAGUAGAGUUACACCAGAAAAUAGGUAUCAGUUUCAGGUAUAAUUACACCAUAAAUUAGACAUUCAACCAUUGCUUCAGAGUUAGUAUUACAAGAAUAGAGAACAUAGCUCAGUUCAGAUUGAAGUU